GAUCCGGUAGUUCAGCUGGUUAGAAUGCCGCCCUGUCACGGCGGAGGUCGCGGGUUCGAGUCCCGUCCGGAUCGCUA
rnacentral:tRNA from 1 species